AGAGUUUGAUCCUGGCUCAGGACGAACGCUGGCGGCGUGCCUAAGACAUGCAACUCGAGCGGAGCGUGGGACUUCGGUUCCAUGCUCAGCGGCGGACGGGUGAGUAACACGUGGAUAACCUGCCCUCUGCUCUGGGAUAACAGGCCGAAAGGCCUGCUAAUACCGGAUAAGCUCACGGCCCCGCAUGGGGCAGGGAGAAAAGGCGCUGGAGUCAGUGGCGCUGGCAGAGGAGGGGUCCGCGGCCCAUUAGCUGGUUGGCGGGGUAACGGCCCACCAAGGCGACGAUGGGUAGCCGGCCUGAGAGGGCGACCGGCCACACUGGGACUGAGACACGGCCCAGACUCCUACGGGAGGCAGCAGUGGGGAAUAUUGCGCAAUGGGCGAAAGCCUGACGCAGCGACGCCGCGUGGGGGAUGAAGGCCUUCGGGUUGUAAACCUCUUUCGGCAGGGACGAAG
rnacentral:rRNA from 1 species